AGCGUACACGGUGGAUGCCCUGGCAGUCAGAGGCGAUGAAGGACGUGCUAAUCUGCGAUAAGCGUCGGUAAGGUGAUAUGAACCGUUAUAACCGGCGAUUUCCGAAUGGGGAAACCCAGUGUGUUUCGACACACUAUCAUUAACUGAAUCCAUAGGUUAAUGAGGCGAACCGGGGGAACUGAAACAUCUAAGUACCCCGAGGAAAAGAAAUCAACCGAGAUUCCCCCAGUAGCGGCGAGCGAACGGGGAGCAGCCCAGAGCCUGAAUCAGUGUGUGUGUUAGUGGAAGCGUCUGGAAAGGCGCGCGAUACAGGGUGACAGCCCCGUACACAAAAAUGCACAUGCUGUGAGCUCGAUGAGUAGGGCGGGACACGUGGUAUCCUGUCUGAAUAUGGGGGGACCAUCCUCCAAGGCUAAAUACUCCUGACUGACCGAUAGUGAACCAGUACCGUGAGGGAAAGGCGAAAAGAACCCCGGCGAGGGGAGUGAAAAAGAACCUGAAACCGUGUACGUACAAGCAGUGGGAGCACGCUUAGGCGUGUGACUGCGUACCUUUUGUAUAAUGGGUCAGCGACUUAUAUUCUGUAGCAAGGUUAACCGAAUAGGGGAGCCGAAGGGAAACCGAGUCUUAACUGGGCGUUAAGUUGCAGGGUAUAGACCCGAAACCCGGUGAUCUAGCCAUGGGCAGGUUGAAGGUUGGGUAACACUAACUGGAGGACCGAACCGACUAAUGUUGAAAAAUUAGCGGAUGACUUGUGGCUGGGGGUGAAAGGCCAAUCAAACCGGGAGAUAGCUGGUUCUCCCCGAAAGCUAUUUAGGUAGCGCCUCGUGAAUUCAUCUCCGGGGGUAGAGCACUGUUUCGGCAAGGGGGUCAUCCCGACUUACCAACCCGAUGCAAACUGCGAAUACCGGAGAAUGUUAUCACGGGAGACACACGGCGGGUGCUAACGUCCGUCGUGAAGAGGGAAACAACCCAGACCGCCAGCUAAGGUCCCAAAGUCAUGGUUAAGUGGGAAACGAUGUGGGAAGGCCCAGACAGCCAGGAUGUUGGCUUAGAAGCAGCCAUCAUUUAAAGAAAGCGUAAUAGCUCACUGGUCGAGUCGGCCUGCGCGGAAGAUGUAACGGGGCUAAACCAUGCACCGAAGCUGCGGCAGCGACACUNNNNNNNNNNNNNNNNNNNNNNNNNNNNNNNNNNNNNNGAAGGUGUGCUGUGAGGCAUGCUGGAGGUAUCAGAAGUGCGAAUGCUGACAUAAGUAACGAUAAAGCGGGUGAAAAGCCCGCUCGCCGGAAGACCAAGGGUUCCUGUCCAACGUUAAUCGGGGCAGGGUGAGUCGACCCCUAAGGCGAGGCCGAAAGGCGUAGUCGAUGGGAAACAGGUUAAUAUUCCUGUACUUGGUGUUACUGCGAAGGGGGGACGGAGAAGGCUAUGUUGGCCGGGCGACGGUUGUCCCGGUUUAAGCGUGUAGGCUGGUUUUCCAGGCAAAUCCGGAAAAUCAAGGCUGAGGCGUGAUGACGAGGCACUACGGUGCUGAAGCAACAAAUGCCCUGCUUCCAGGAAAAGCCUCUAAGCAUCAGGUAACAUCAAAUCGUACCCCAAACCGACACAGGUGGUCAGGUAGAGAAUACCAAGGCGCUUGAGAGAACUCGGGUGAAGGAACUAGGCAAAAUGGUGCCGUAACUUCGGGAGAAGGCACGCUGAUAUGUAGGUGAAGUCCCUCGCGGAUGGAGCUGAAAUCAGUCGAAGAUACCAGCUGGCUGCAACUGUUUAUUAAAAACACAGCACUGUGCAAACACGAAAGUGGACGUAUACGGUGUGACGCCUGCCCGGUGCCGGAAGGUUAAUUGAUGGGGUCAGCGCAAGCGAAGCUCUUGAUCGAAGCCCCGGUAAACGGCGGCCGUAACUAUAACGGUCCUAAGGUAGCGAAAUUCCUUGUCGGGUAAGUUCCGACCUGCACGAAUGGCGUAAUGAUGGCCAGGCUGUCUCCACCCGAGACUCAGUGAAAUUGAACUCGCUGUGAAGAUGCAGUGUACCCGCGGCAAGACGGAAAGACCCCGUGAACCUUUACUAUAGCUUGACACUGAACAUUGAGCCUUGAUGUGUAGGAUAGGUGGGAGGCUUGGAAGUGUGGACGCCAGUCUGCAUGGAGCCGACCUUGAAAUACCACCCUUUAAUGUUUGAUGUUCUAACGUUGACCCGUAAUCCGGGUUGCGGACAGUGUCUGGUGGGUAGUUUGACUGGGGCGGUCUCCUCCUAAAGAGUAACGGAGGAGCACGAAGGUUGGCUAAUCCUGGUCGGACAUCAGGAGGUUAGUGCAAUGGCAUAAGCCAGCUUGACUGCGAGCGUGACGGCGCGAGCAGGUGCGAAAGCAGGUCAUAGUGAUCCGGUGGUUCUGAAUGGAAGGGCCAUCGCUCAACGGAUAAAAGGUACUCCGGGGAUAACAGGCUGAUACCGCCCAAGAGUUCAUAUCGACGGCGGUGUUUGGCACCUCGAUGUCGGCUCAUCACAUCCUGGGGCUGAAGUAGGUCCCAAGGGUAUGGCUGUUCGCCAUUUAAAGUGGUACGCGAGCUGGGUUUAGAACGUCGUGAGACAGUUCGGUCCCUAUCUGCCGUGGGCGCUGGAGAACUGAGGGGGGCUGCUCCUAGUACGAGAGGACCGGAGUGGACGCAUCACUGGUGUUCGGGUUGUCAUGCCAAUGGCACUGCCCGGUAGCUAAAUGCGGAAGAGAUAAGUGCUGAAAGCAUCUAAGCACGAAACUUGCCCCGAGAUGAGUUCU
rnacentral:rRNA from 1 species